GACUUAAAUCUUCAAUAAAUGUUAAUAUGGUUUUGGCUGGGAAUUUAUUUAAGGGAUAAGGAUUUAUUAUCAUGAAAUAUGGCAAGUUUCUCUGUUGCUAUGCACAAUGCCUAAAUUUUGUUGUUACCAGUGUGAUGCGUGUGCUGCUUGGAGAAGAAAGAGAGAAUCUCAAGAAUUCUUCCCUUUAAGACUUUAGACUGGGAAUAAAUUUUCACACAGGGGGGAAGGUUAAAUCAAUGCCCAGAAAACAAUUAGUGGUUGUUGUUGUUCCUAUGUCAGUAUCCAAAACGAAAAUGUUGCACAAUUAUGCCCUCAAAUUUUGCACUCCUCAAAUUCUGCCUUAUUCAAUCAUAUGGCUGAAUAAAAUGUCAAGUCCUUUGGUUAGCUUAGUUAGGCUUAGGGUUCUGUUUGUGAAUUGGGAUCCAGCUAAUUAACAGUUAGGGGUUACUCAUUGAUACUGAAGUGACCUUCUACAUAUAUCAUGUCAACAUCAUUGUGAUUAAAUUACUUGGGGUUUUGUGAAUGUUGAUUGGCUUGCUUAGUCUGUCAUUCAUUUUUCUUCAAACUUGGUUGCAAAAGUAGAAGUACAGUUAUUAAACCUCUAUGAUCGGCUGGUCAAAGUAGGUACUUGUGAACCAUAUGCAUACCCAUUCUUUGUUUGUGAAGACUUGCUUGACACAAAUUCAUUUAAAUUGCUAAACUCAGCUGAAAUUUGGUCAGUUUGACCAGUUUGGCUCAUUCUGAUCAGUUACAAAGGAGGAAAUGGGACCAAAUAUGAUGAUUCAUAGGUUUGAAUCAAUGAAUCUUGUCUUUUGGCUAGAAAACACCAAAUACUUAAUCUUUGGUGGAAGAUAACUUGAUGAUAGUUUCUCCAGCAAGAUUGAUUGAUGGGGAAAACCUCUGCAACUUGUCUUCCCUUGGCCUCUCUGAGUCUGUUUAUUUCUUGCUGUUGUGAUUUUUCAGA
rnacentral:misc_RNA from 1 species